CAGGCCUAACACAUGCAAGUCGAACGCUCGUAGCAAUACGGGAGUGGCAGACGGGUGAGUAACACGUGGGAACGUACCUUCAGGUCUGGAAUAACCCUGGGAAACUAGGGCUAAUACCGGAUAUCCGAGAGAUCGGAAAGGCUUGCUGCCUGAAGAUCGGCCCGCGUCCGAUUAGCUUGUUGGUGGGGUAAUGGCCUACCAAGGCUUCGAUCGGUAGCUGGUCUGAGAGGAUGACCAGCCACAUUGGGACUGAGACACGGCCCAAACUCCUACGGGAGGCAGCAGUGGGGAAUAUUGGACAAUGGGCGCAAGCCUGAUCCAGCCAUGCCGCGUGAGUGAUGACGGCCUUAGGGUUGUAAAGCUCUUUUACCUGGGAAGAUCAUGACGGUACCAGGAGAAUAAGCCCCGGCUAACUUCGUGCCAGCAGCCGCGGUAAU
rnacentral:rRNA from 1 species